AGUCAUUUUCGGAGUUAAAUGAGGAGUAAACGUGAGGUUAAACGUAUUUGUUAUCUGGUUGUUACGUCAUUGCAUUGAGUGUACAGGAAAUGUGUGGGCGUCAAUUGUGUAUUGUCAUUGUGAAUUAGUGUGAAGUGUAAUGCUUUUACUUGACCGUUUGUUUGUAUUGUGAAUAAGUCGUUUGUUAUGUGCCGGUUAUUGCUGUAAUCUUUUCAGGGGGGUUUGUUCCAAGUUGGUGUACCAGCUUUUUAUCUUUAGGUAUGGAUUUAAUAGCAUCAGUAGCGUCGGAAGAGUCUUGUAAUGAAAAUUUAUUUAGGGUAAUGACCCAACUUUUAUUCUUCUUGGUGUCGUUUGCAACAGCAAUUACGGUGAUCAGGAAUGAUAGAGAAAAAUUAAAUCUUUGGGCACGCUAUUUUAACUGCCAUUGUCAUGAUGAUGGGUGACUUUGAUUUUGAAGAAAGUUUUGUGGAAAAUGAUAUCUCUGAGUUCAAUACAAUCAAAAUGCUGCGAAUAGUUCUAUUUUGUUUUGUUUCUUCUGAUUGUGUCAAUCAUCAUUAUGAAUCUAUUGGUUACUCUUACAGCUCAAGACCUAAGUGACGAGUUCAAGAAAAAAAAAUAAGCAAGUCAAACUCUUUUAUACUGUGAGUAAUUGGAAUUUGUCAUGAAAGCAAAAAAUUGUUAUAAAUGAUAAGCCUAUAUAGGAGAAACUUCCUUAACUUUAAUUUCAGAAAUAUCAUUUUGAUUGAAAAUAUACAACAGUCUAUAUGCACACUGCCUUAUAAUGAUUGAAGAAAGGAGAACAAGAGCAGUCUUCCCACUAAUUAAAACUGAAGCUAAGAUCAAAGAGUGUAAAUAUACGUAGAGGUGAAUAAAAAACAGGGAAGAAAAA